GUAGGUGAACUGCGGAAGGAUCAUUACCGAGUGUAGGGUUCCUAGCGAGCCCAACCUCCCACCCGUGUUUACUGUACCUUAGUUGCUUCGGCGGGCCCGCCAUUCAUGGCCGCCGGGGGCUCUCAGCCCCGGGCCCGCGCCCGCCGGAGACACCACGAACUCUGUCUGAUCUAGUGAAGUCUGAGUUGAUUGUAUCGCAAUCAGUUAAAACUUUCAACAAUGGAUCUCUUGGUUCCGGCAUCGAUGAAGAACGCAGCGAAAUGCGAUAACUAGUGUGAAUUGCAGAAUUCCGUGAAUCAUCGAGUCUUUGAACGCACAUUGCGCCCCCUGGUAUUCCGGGGGGCAUGCCUGUCCGAGCGUCAUUGCUGCCCAUCAAGCACGGCUUGUGUGUUGGGUCGUCGUCCCCUCUCCGGGGGGGACGGGCCCCAAAGGCAGCGGCGGCACCGCGUCCGAUCCUCGAGCGUAUGGGGCUUUGUCACCCGCUCUGUAGGCCCGGCCGGCGCUUGCCGAACGCAAAUCAAUCUUUUUCCAGGUUGACCUCGGAUCAGUAGGAUACCCGCUGA
rnacentral:rRNA from 1 species